rnacentral:rRNA from 1 species
GAUGAACGCUAGCGGCAGGCUUAAUACAUGCAAGUCGUGGGGCAGCAUGGUGUAGCAAUACACUGAUGGCGACCGGCAAACGGGUGCGGAACACGUACGCAACCUUCCUUUAACUGGAGAAUAGCCCGGGGAAACCCGGAUUAAUACUCCGUAACAUUAUGAAGUGGCAUCACUUUAUAAUUAUAGCUCCGGCGGUUGAAGAUGGGCGUGCGUCUGAUUAGGUAGUUGGCGGGGUAACGGCCCACCAAGCCUACGAUCAGUAACUGGUGU